rfam:Salmo salar isolate Sally breed double haploid chromosome ssa18, whole genome shotgun sequence.
AAUGCACCAAUUUGUAAGUCGCUCUGGACAAGAGUGUCUGCUAAAUGACGUAAA